CCUUUGUGGUUUUGUAAGUCGCUCUGGAUAAGAGCGUCUGCUAAAUGACUUAAA
rfam:Salmo salar isolate Sally breed double haploid chromosome ssa28, whole genome shotgun sequence.